GACACUGUUUGCAAAGUGGUUUAAGGCGGCAGAUUUAAGCUUAGGAGUAUUAUGAGAAAUACCCAAAAAACUCAUAGUCUUCAACUUGAACCUCUGCUUUCCGUAAGGAAGCGUGGGUUCGAACCCCACUCCUCUCA